rnacentral:rRNA from 1 species
AGAUACCCGGGUAGUCCACGCCCUAAACGAUGCCCGCUGGCUGUCGGAAACUCCCUUACGGGAUUUUCGGUAGCGAAGCUAACGCGUUAAGCGGGCCGCCUGGGGAAUACGGUCGCAAGAUUAAAACUCAAAGGAAUUGACGGGGACCCGCACAAGCGGUGGAUGAUGUGGUUUAAUUCGAUGCAACGCGAAAAACCUUACCCGCUCCUGACAUGUCCGGAAUCCCGCGGAGACGCGGGAGUGCCUUAGGGAACCGGAACACAGGUGCUGCAUGGCCGUCGUCAG